GGAGGAAAGCAGGGGAUCGCAAGACCUUGCGCUUUUGGAGUGGCCGAUGCCUGAUUAGCUAGUUGGUAGGGUAAUGGCUUACCAAGGCGACGAUCAGUAGUUGGUCUGAGAGGACGACCAGCCACACUGGGACUGAGACACGGCCCAGACUCCUACGGGAGGCAGCAGUGGAGAAUUUUGGACAAUGGGCGAAAGCCUGAUCCAGCAAUGCCGCGUGAGUGAAGAAGGCCUUCGGGUUGUAAAGCUCUUUCAGUCGAGAAGAAAAGGUUGUGACUAAUAAUCACAACUCAUGACGGUAUCGACAGAAGAAGCACCGGCUAACUACGUGCCAGCAGCCGCGGUAAUACGUAGGGUGCGAGCGUUAAUCGGAAUUACUGGGCGUAAAGGGUGCGCAGGCGGCUUUGUAAGUCAGAUGUGAAAUCCCCGGGCUUAACCUGGGAAUUGCGUUUGAAACUACAAGGCUAGA
rnacentral:rRNA from 1 species